UACAUGGGGUGCAAACGUUGCUCGGAAUUAUUGGGCGUAAAGCGCACGUAGGCGGUUUGUUAAGUCGGAUGUGAAAUCCCUCGGCUCAACUGAGGAAGUGCAUCCGAAACUGGCAGUCUCGAGUGCGGGAGAGGUGAGUGGAAUUCCCAGUGUAGAGGUGAAAUUCGUAGAUAUUGGGAAGAACACCAGUGGCGAAGGCGGCUCACUGGCCCGUAACUGACGCUGAGGUGCGAAAGCGUGGGGAGCAAACAGG
rnacentral:rRNA from 1 species